CUGGGAGGACCAUCUCCUAAGGCUAAAUACUCUCUAGUGACCGAUAGUGAACCAGUACCGUGAGGGAAAGGUGAAAAGCACCCCGGAAGGGGAGUGAAAUAGAACCUGAAACCGUGUGCUUACAAGUAGUCAGAGCCCGUUAAUGGGUGAUGGCGUGCCUUUUGUAGAAUGAACCGGCGAGUUACGAUUUGAUGCAAGGUUAAGCAGUAAAUGUGGAGCCGUAGCGAAAGCGAGUCUGAAUAGGGCGUUUAGUAUUUGGUCGUAGACCCGAAACCAGGUGAUCUACCCUUGGUCAGGUUGAAGUUCAGGUAACACUGAAUGGAGGACCGAACCGACUUACGUUGAAAAGUGAGCGGAUGAACUGAGGGUAGCGGAGAAAUUCCAAUCGAACCUGGAGAUAGCUGGUUCUCUCCGAAAUAGCUUUAGGGCUAGCCUCAAGUGAUGAUUAUUGGAGGUAGAGCACUGUUUGGACGAGGGGCCCCUCUCGGGUUACCGAAUUCAGACAAACUCCGAAUGCCAAUUAAUUUAACUUGGGAGUCAGAACAUGGGUGAUAAGGUCCGUGUUCGAAAGGGAAACAGCCCAGACCACCAGCUAAGGUCCCAAAAUAUAUGUUAAGUGGAAAAGGAUGUGGCGUUGCCCAGACAACUAGGAUGUUGGCUUAGAAGCAGCCAUCAUUUAAAGAGUGCGUAAUAGCUCACUAGUCGAGUGACACUGCGCCGAAAAUGUACCGGGGCUAAACAUAUUACCGAAGCUGUGGAUUGUCCUUUGGACAAUGGUAGGAGAGCGUUCUAAGGGCGUUGAAGCAUGAUCGUAAGGACAUGUGGAGCGCUUAGAAGUGAGAAUGCCGGUGUGAGUAGCGAAAGACGGGUGAGAAUCCCGUCCACCGAUUGACUAAGGUUUCCAGAGGAAGGCUCGUCCGCUCUGGGUUAGUCGGGUCCUAAGCUGAGGCCGACAGGCGUAGGCGAUGGAUAACAGGUUGAUAUUCCUGUACCACCUAUAAUCGUUUUAAUCGAUGGGGGGACGCAGUAGGAUAGGCGAAGCGUGCGAUUGGAUUGCACGUCUAAGCAGUAAGGCUGAGUAUUAGGCAAAU
rnacentral:rRNA from 1 species